ACGUCCUACGGGGGGCAGCAGUGGGGGAUAUUGCACAAUGGGGGGAACCCUGAUGCAGCGACGCCGCGUGGGUGAAGAAGCGCCUCGGGUUGUAAACUUCUUUUGUCAGGGACGAAGCAAGUGACGGUACCUGACGAAUAAGCCACGGCUAACUACGUGCCAGCAGCCGCGGUAAUACGUAGGUGGCAAGCGUUAUCCGGAUUUACUGGGUGUAAAGGGCGUGUAGGCGGGGAAGCAAGUCAGAUGUGAAAUUCCAGGGCUCAACCCUGGAACUGCAUUUGAAACUGUUUUUCUUGAGUGAUGGG
rnacentral:rRNA from 1 species